UCUAUAGGAAUCUUGAGAGGCUGGCUGAAACUAUGGAGAGUUUGAAAGAUUCACAGGCUUUCACUUCUACAAGAAUGCCUUAAAGAACUCUUAAUUCCAAUAGGCCUCAAGUCCGAGAUGAAGAGUUGAUGCGCCAGAGAUUCAUCCCUAUUAUAAGGAAUUGAACAAUAGGUUGGCAAGACUAGUGCAAGGAGGGAAGUUGGAGAAAGAAAAG
rnacentral:lncRNA from 1 species